rnacentral:rRNA from 1 species
ACGCUCGACACCUACGGGAGGCAGCAGUGGGGAAUAUUGCACAAUGGGGGAAACCCUGAUGCAGCGACGCCGCGUGAGCGAAGAAGUAUCUCGGUAUGUAAAGCUCUAUCAGCAGGGAAGAAGAUGACGGUACCUGACUAAGAAGCACCGGCUAAAUACGUGCCAGCAGCCGUGGUAAUCUGAGCGGGCUGGCAAGGC